rnacentral:rRNA from 1 species
GACGAACGCUGGCGGCGUGCUUAACACAUGCAAGUCGAACGGAAAGGCCCCUUUGGGGGUACUCGAGUGGCGAACGGGUGAGUAACACGUGAGUAACCUGCCCUUGACUUCGGGAUAACUUCAGGAACUGGGGCUAAUACCGGAUAGGAAUCCUUGCUGCAUGGUGGGGGUUGGAAAGCUUCGGCGGUUUUGGAUGGACUCGCGGCUUAUCAGCUUGUUGGUGGGGUAGUGGCUUACCAAGGUUUUGACGGGUAGCCGGCCUGAGAGGGCGACCGGCCACAUUGGGACUGAGAUACGGCCCAGACUCCUACGGGAGGCAGCAGUGGGGAAUAUUGCACAAUGGGCGGAAGCCUGAUGCAGCAACGCCGCGUGCGGGAUGACGGCCUUCGGGUUGUAAACCGCUUUCAGCAGGGGCGAAGCUUUUGUGACGGUACCUGCAGAAGAAGCACCGGCUAACUACGUG